rnacentral:pre_miRNA from 2 species
GAGUCUAGUUACUAGGCAGUGUAGUUAGCUGAUUGCUAAUAGUACCAAUCACUAACCACACGGCCAGGUAAAAAGACUGA